GGCCGCUUGGCCCAAUGGUUAAGGCGUCUGACUACGACCGAGCAUGAUAUGUAAACGUGCUUGACUUAGUUAAUCAGGAGAUUCUGGGUUCGACUCCCAGGGUGGCCU